rnacentral:lncRNA from 1 species
GACCGAGAAGUCUGAUCUAUACUUCCCUGAGACUGGGCACCCUGCACUUUCGUCCCUUGACUAGACUAAAAAUUUUGGCAUCGCUAAUCAGCUGGAGAUGUGGGCACCGGAGCACUGACUAUGGACUGAGCAUUAUCCCAAUUCUUCUUCUUUUUCUGCUAUCUGUUACCCCAAUUACCACUCUAUGGCUGACUGUGGCUCUGGUCUGCUAUUCUGACCCUCUUGGCCUGCCUGUUCUUCUCUCUAGAUUCAACGAUUCUCUUAUUCUUCUCCUCUACCUACUGCAUGUGGACUGACAGUCUAGAGAAGUCCAUAUCCCUGUUUAGCAUUGCCCUUUUACAGUUGAGCACCAAGUCAUCUGAAAAGUCGAAUGCAAAUUUUCUCAUAUGGGCUCUCAUAUUACGAGCCAUCUCCGGAGCAUAAUAGGCUAGUUGGUUGAACUUUAGAGUGUACUCCUUGACACUAAUUUUUCCUUGCUUUAGGUUCAUAAACUCUUUAGCUUUGGCCUCCUUCAACUUUAGAGGAAAGAAUCGAUCUAGGAAGGCUUCCACGAACUCACCCCAUACUGUGGGCUCAACAUUCUUACCCUUAGAAUCUUCCCACUCACUAUACCGCUGAUUCGUAACUUCUUUAAGCUGAUAAGCUACUAGUUUCACCCCUUCUACCUCAUCUAUAUGCAUCACCCUAAAAAUAUUCUCCAUCUUAUCGAUAAACUUCUGUGGCGAAUUCAUCCUCAUGAACUGACCCACCCUAGUAACCUCAGAUAUAACAAAUGUAGGCCUAACAUCCUCUGACCGUUGAGUCUGUGUAGCCACCAACUACGCAAGCAUAUGAAUUAACUGCCUAAAUUCUGCAUAAGAUACCUCUCUCUCAUGAGGUUGGGUGUGGUUGGUCACCAAUCGGGGAGCUCUAGGUGCCCUGGGUGGGCUGGUAUGAGUAGGUGGGACUCUUAAAGUAACAACAUCUUUUGGAGUUUGAGCUCUAUUGUGUGUACUCAUCCCAUGAGUGGGAUGGACUUUAUCAGUUUGAGCAUUUUGAUCGCUAGAGCGACGUAGAGGCAUGACUGCUUUUUUGAAAUGCAAGAGCAUGGAUUAGAGAAUAGAUUAGAUUCCAAAGCAUGAACUAAAUCACAAAGAGGGGAACCAUUCCUAAAUGCCUAGUAGCCUCCUGCUUAUAAGUAUGGUGUGCUACACACACAUAAACAAGACGUUAGUCGACACAAUUUUGCAGAUACCUUGGGACCAUGAACCGAGCUCUGAUACUAAGUUUGUUACGAUCCAAACUGAGGCCCUGGCCAUGAUGAGCAUCCUGAACCAUGAAGGCCUAAAUGCCCCUCUCCAUCUAGUAGUCAUGGACAACGUUCAUACAAUAAAAGAAGAUGCAGAACAAAAUAUAAUAUAGAAUCAUGGUCAUUCUGAAUUCAAUUUAAAGGUGAAAGGUAAAACCCAUAAUAACUAAACAAUAUUUGAACCAGUCUCCAAAAUCUCUAAUACAUGAUAAAAUGACAACUGUCAAAAAACUAGGACAAGGCCCCCAGUAGAACAAAACCAUAAUAAAUGAUAAGUCAGAAAGAACAGGCCUUCUGAAAUAAAUAAGGCUCACCACUGCACAAUCUGCUUCUGUCUGAACACUCUACUGCUUAGUCGAUCCACUAGAUUUAGCCUCAGACCCUGAGAGGUUGGGGGUCAAUACAGUUGUACUGGUACGCAGAUAAAAUCCAAAAUAUUGAUUUUUAUUUAACAUAUAUGAGAGCAAUUUAAAACAGUUCAUAAAUAUGUCACAUGCUAAGAAUCACAUGGGCAUUUUUAAAAGACUCUAUAAAAUCAUCUGAACUCUGUGACACUCUUUCUUUUACUUCUGCGCCAGGUGGUAUAUCCUACAAUUCUGUAAUUCCAUGGGCUACAAGGAAUCUGCCCUUAACUCGGCAGCCAAGUCCCCAACUCAAGUUUGACGCAAGGGUCGGAGUCUCUGAAUCUGUACUACGCCACAGGGCCAUCGCCAUCGUACAAAAGUAACAUACCCGUAUUGGCAAAACACGACUUUAGGCUAUAAGUUGAUUGACUCGUGCCCUCUUCAGGUAAACACCUAACCCUCUUUAAGCCAUUUUUAAUUAUUUACAACAUGCAAUCUUUGAAAUUAGACUCUAAAGACUCUAGUUCUGUUAUGGCAUAAAUUUAUAUGGUAUCGUCACACCAUUGACUUGCAAGUCACAUUCUUUGAGCCAUUUAUAGAAAAUUAUAUAUCUAUCCUCAAAAUAUGGAAUUGAGGACCACCAUAUCAACAGUUUUUUUCAAGAAACUCAUUCUUUAAAAAUCAUGUAAACAUAUACAAGAAAACUCUCGUUUUCAAUAUUUCAAACACACAAGAAGGUCAUGUCAAAGAUAUCAAUCACAUGUAACUUUCUUUUUAAUACAAGAAAGAAAUCAUAUCAAGAAACUCCUUCUCAUCAUCACCAAAACAUUGUUAUUACUUUAAUAUUGAUAAGAUCAUUUUCAAUCCAUUAAAUAUGCAUCUCAAAUCAUUCUCAAUAGUUUCAUAAACUCUAAAUCAUCAAAGAGAGGGAUUUCAAUGAUAAUGCUCUCAAUAAAAUCUUCAAUAUCAUACAUAUACAUAUAUAUGUAAAUCAAUUUUAAGGGGGAAAGACCUAAAGGCCAAAACAAUAACAUUAUCAAAACAUUCAUAAUGCAAAAUUUAAAGCGUAAGUUCCAAGACCCCUUUCAAAUUCAUGCUUGAUAAUCUUUAAAUCACGUUCUAGUGUUUACAAUACUAUGUAUUUUUUAGAUAAACCCCACGUACCUUAAAUUAGGAUUUGAUGGGUGAUUCUUGAAGGCCUCGGGUUGGGGAUUCUAAAUCUUUAAUCAAUUUCUAAAACCGAUGGUGGAAUCUUGAGUUAUUUGGAAUUUUAGUUUAAAACCCUAAGGGGUGUUCUUGAUGGAUUUUGAUGAAAAUAUCAAUAAAGUGGUGUUUUGGGAGUAUAAUCCCAUGUUUAAGCUGAAGAAGGGGGUGGAAGUACCCAAUUUACCCUUAAAAACAUUUCUGAAAGCUGCAGCCUGAAGGGGGAGCUUGCGUCGCAUGCUGUAGUGCACCAGGAUGGAGCGUGAGCCGCAUGAUCCAUCAAACGCUACCCACCAUAGGAAUGGAGCGUGCGUCGCACACAAAUUGCACGAUGCUACUGUUUUGGGUACCAAACACGCCUUUACGCUUGUCCAAAGAUUCUGAAACUUACUCGGGAUGUACCCUUGACACCCUCGAUUAUGAAUCAACUAACAAAUUGUUAUUCUAAGGCCGGGAAGGUCUAGAAAAAAAUCAUCAAAUAUUAAAGGUUCAAAAUGAGACUAAGUCUUUUUGACACUUAGAAAAAUAUUCUAGUUUUCAACUCUAUGUGCAUACUACUAAGAGCUAACACAUGUACGACUUUUGCGGGGUGUUACAUUCUAUUAGUUGAAUGCAUGUAGGAAAAAAUAUUUUUGAGAAUCCCAUUGUGGAUGUUCUUCCAUUCAACUUUCGUUUAACAGUUCGAUAAUCUAAUGUGGUCUGAAAAGUUUGAAAUAACUUAAAACUAAGCCUUGAUGAAUAUAUAAAUGAUUUUAAGGGUUCGUGAUUUUGUAUCUAAUAUCAUUUAUGGAUUAGGGUGUUUGAUAUGAAGAACAAUACUUUUCACUAAAAAUAAGUGCGUUUCUUUCUUAUUUCUUAAAAUAAGUAGAAAAUAUUGGUUGAAAAUAUUUUAUAUAAUUUAUGGAAAUACCCUGGAGAGGAGUGAGAAUAGGAGUAUGGGAAUGCUUGGAGAUGGAGGCUGGAAGUGUUGGAGGAUGAAGAGGAAAUAAUUAAUAUGGAAUACCACUUAUGUAACUUGCUCUCGUACUUCCGCGAGAGAGGUUAUUUUUCUCUUUUUAAGGAAUAGAAAAAUAUAUCGACCAAAUAUAGGAAAGUUGAAAAAUGUAAAGUGAAAAAUAUUUUUCUCUAUGCCUAGACAACCUUAGGGGACGUUUGGUAGAGUGUAUAAGAAUAAGGCGUAAUAUAGUGUAUUAGUAAUGCUUGCAUUAGUAAUGCUUGUACUAGUUGUGCUUGCAUUAGUUAUAUUGAUAUUGUUUCUUAAACAUUAUUUGAUUUGAUGUAUUAAAAAUAAUAUAUCUUACAGAAUUCCUAUUAAAAAUGUUUGUUUACAAAAAUAUCCUUCUUUGACAUUGUGCACUUUCUUUGCAACAAAGUUUUUUUGUCAUCUUAAACAUAAUUAGUAUUGUUGAACAAAUAUAUAGAGGUAUAUGAGUACUUGCAAGACCUUCGGCUUUACGCAUGAAAUGUUAUGCUGAUGGAUUACCAUAGUCGAAACAAAAAAAAAUACAAGAUGUAGAAUCAAUGAAUAGUUUCAUGUUAUUUUUAAUCAUUUUAAAGACCCUUGAAGAAAAAUAAAGAUAUAUUGUAGUUAUUUAAACCAGCUAUCAUAAGCAUAAUCCAUACAUAAUUCAAAGUGCGGAAGAAAUAAUGAAAUUCAACUUGAUCUGAUGAUCAAAAUAUGUCAAUAAAGUUAUGAAAAUAAAAUACUUAAAUCCCACCUACGAAGCCUCUACUGAAUACUAACUGUUAAGGAUAGAACAAGGCCACCGGCUGGACCAUAAACUGAAAGAAGUCAAUAUAUGAAUAAAUGCUCUCCAAAAGAUGGAUGGCGUACCAACUCUGUCAUUAUACCAAAUGUUCUACUGAUGUGAUGGACCACGGGACUGUGCCUUAGAACCAGAAUUAUAAAGGUCAAUACUUGAAAAAUAUUGGUAUGAAAAACAAUCCAAAAAUAGCGUAUAUUUCAUUUAAAAUACUCAAGAGAAUUGUGAAAACGAUUUAGCAUAGUGACUAUAAAAAACAUGAGCAUAAUUCAAAGGCUUCAAAACAUUCUUGUAAAUCAUGGACUCAACUCUUUAAUUUACUUCUAAGCUAGAUGGUACACCCUAAACGUCUAUUAUCCUACAGGCUAUAUGAGAUCCGCCCUUAACUCGGUGGCCCAACCCCCAAUCCAAGUUUGCCGCAAAGAUUGGAGUUUUCAUAGCAUGAUAAAUCUCCCAGUGAGUAUACCGUAGGCAUCCACUAAUGGGAGAUGUCCUAAUUAUCCUCCCAUAUAGUAUAACAUAUCAUAAAUUCCCCGUCGGCAAAACACGAUUUUCGACAAUGAGUUAUCUGAAUUUGUUCCUUCUUCGGGUAACCAUCUAACUCUCUAAGAGCUCAUUUUUAGUCUUUUAAAACAUGCAUCUUUCCCAAAACAUAGUCUGAAGUAUGAAAAGAUGUCAUCACAUUUGUUUGAUUUGGUAUUGUCAUACCAAAACUUGUAAGUCAUAUAAGUCAUAUCAUGUCAUGUCAUGUCUUUAACCCUUUAUUUAAAAACAUGCUAUUUGACCACCAAAAUGAUUCUAUUAUCACAUGAGAGUUAUUAUUUUAAAAUCACAUGAAAAAUUAUGCAAAGUACUCUCCUUUCAAGACUUUAACAUUGGGUGACCAUCAUUUUCAUAAAUCACAUGCAAUUCUUUUAUUUAACACAAAAGGGCAUUUAUCAAUAUGAAACACCUCUUGAACAAAUAUAAAAGGACAACCAUAUUUGAUAAAGAGGCAUUUAAAACUUAUUUAUCCAAUCGUUAGUUAAACAACCCCCAACAAUAAUAUAAAUAAAUCUCAUGAUUGAUAAAGGGGGGCUAUUAGUUCAUGCUCUCAAAUUCACUUCAAAACUCAAAAUACAUGCACAUAUUUCAUAAUUAUUUGAGAACCCAAAAUUUUUUAAAUACAUGAAUCUUAUCAUAAAAUUAUGGUCCACAGUCCAAACACUUCAAGACUCUUAACAUAUGCACAUAAUCAAAGUUUCAAACUUGAAGAAAAUCCCAUAAUAAAUGGAUAAUUCUAUCAAAAGGUUGAGGUUUCGAAAUUCAUGUUUUUUAAUCAACUUCAAAGACUUAAAUUACAUACAUACAGAAUAAGGAUUAUUAAAAUCAACAUAUUUAUGCCAAUAAAUUUUAGGAUAGUUCUAGUGUAACGCCCCGAAGUUUGCCUAGCUAAGUUUUUCUCUAAAGUAUCAAGCAUGGUCUUCUAGAGUGAUUUAUACUUAAUUACCUAUGGAAUUACAAUCUGUCGACAUAAGAUUCGUCCAAAACGGACACUCGGUAAAGGAGUUAUGGUUAAUUUAAGUCCUAGUCGUAAAACACCGUCAUUCGUAUUCUUGGCGCGUCGCAGAGAGGGUGUAAAUGACGAUGGUCAAUUUCUAGUGAGACUCCGCGAUGGUGGCACAUCGUGGAGUGGGCCAAAUUCCUAUUCUUCAAUUUCCAGUGAGCCACAGCGAUUGUGGCAUGUCGCGGUGGCCCAUAAAAUUAGACACCCAGUUAUAUUUUUAAUCCAUAUCAUUAAGGGUAUAUUGUGUAUUUCUAUCCCUCUUAUCAGAUUAAACACGGGAUUAUAUUCCCAACUGACCACAUUACUCAUAUUUGCCUCAAAAAUUCACAAGAACUCUCCCUAGGGUUUCAAAUAAGAAUCCCGAAUAACUCAAGAUUUAAUCGUGGGUUUUCAAAACAAAUCAGAGAUUUGGAAUUCCCAAGCCAUAGGAAUCAAGAAACAUUCUUUAAUUUCCUAAAUCGAGGUACGUGGGAUUUUUCUAAAAUCUCAUGGGCAUAGAAAUCAUGAUUUUAAGAAAGGGGUUUUGAAUUUAUGAAUAUAUUCAUGUUUUAGAAGCGUUGAUGAUAUUGUUUUGGCCUUUAGGAUUUCCCCUAAAUUGAUUUGAAUAGUAUAUAUGUAUGUAUGCAUUGAAAACCGUGAAUUGGGAAUUGAGAGCAUGAAAUAUAUAUAAUCUCCCUCUCCCAUUACUUUAUUAUUUGAUUUACAAGUUAUGAAUCUUUACAUUUCAUGGUUUACAGAAUGAUUCAAGAUACUUUUUGUCCUAUGUGAAAUUCAUGAUGAUUAAGAAUGGGAGAGAGGAAUGCUUUUAUGAUUUUAAAUGUUGAGACUGAUAAACAAAGAAACUUCAGGAAUGUUUUUGAGAAGUUGGCCACUACUUGUUGAAAUUGUUGAAUGAAUGGAAAGUCUUUGCAUGAUUUUUGACUAAUGAUUUGAGAUAUGACUCUUCUUACAGUAUAUGUAUGAUCAAGUGGCCUGGACAUUGUUUUAGAAUGAAAUAAUCUUAUAUGGCUCAGAAUAACGACUUGCAAUUCUUGGUAUGAUGAUACCAAUUCAGACAAUGCCAUAACAGAGACAAACUAACACAGACAUCAAACUUUCAUAUUUUAGAAUUUCAGAAUGAUGCAUGUUCAGAAAAGGCUAAAAUAGGUUAUAAAGAGAUGUUAGGUGGUUUCCUAAAGAGAGAACGAUUUCAGAUAACUCAUUGCCCAAAACCGUGAUUUGAUGAUCCGAGUAUAUUAUAUUAUGCUGGCAUAGUGCCGUAUGGCAUAUCAAAAUCAGAGAUUCCAACCCUUGUGGCACACUUGGGUUGGAGGCUUCCCCGCCGAGUCAAUGGCGGAUUCCAUAUAGACCGUGGAAUAUCAGAAUUGUAAGGGAGUGCCACCUAACUCAAAAGUAAUACAAAGAUCAGAAUUUGCAUUGAUAGAAAGGUUUUAUGUUUUCAGAAAUCCCGUGUGUUUUGAAAAUUAUAUCUUUCAUGAUGUUUAUGACUAGCUCUUACCUAUUUUAGUUAUAUAAAAGCUUUAUUUUGGAUUGCUCUAUGUACUAGUACAUCUAUAUUGACCCCUCUCCCUCCCAGGUUCUGAGGCUCAGUCUUGGGGUCCAGCUAUUCAGUAGAGUAUUUCAGAGAGAAAUAAUCCAUGCAGUGGUGAGCCUUCUUUGUUCUACAAGGAUCAUUUAUUUCAAAUUAUGUGACUACUAUGGUUUUGGUCUAUUGGGGGCCUUGUCCCAGUUUUCAAAUAGAUGUUAUUUUUAGAUAUAGUAGAGAUUUUGAAGACUGGAUCAGAUAUUGUUUAGAUAUUAUUGGAUCCUUCACUGUUAAACUAAAUACAAAGUACAACCUUGUUUUCAUGUUUGACUAUAAUUCUGCAUUUUCUUUUAUUAUAUGGAUGUUGUGCAUGAUUACCAUAUAGAGAAGGGCAUUUUAGGCCUUCAUGGUUUGGGAUGUUCGUCAUGGACAGGGCCUCGGUUCGGGUUGUAUCAAACUUGGUAUUAGAGCACGGUUCAUGGUCCCAGGGUGUCUGCAAAAUCGCGUCGGGUAGAGUUUUUUUUAUGGGUGUGUAGCACGCCAUACCUAUAAGCAGGAGGCUACUAGGCGUUUAGGAAAAUAUUUUCCCUCUUUAUGGUUUAGUUCAUGCGUUAGAGUCUGAGUUAGAAUUGUCCCUAAUUAGUGAUCUAUUGUAUUUCAGAAAACAAUCAUGCCUCCCCAUCGUUCCAACAAAUAGGAUACUCAGGAUGAUUAAGUCCGCCCACCUAUGGGAUACGGGCCCGUAAUAGAGCGUACACACUAAAACCUAUUCCUACUAUGGGAGUAUCUCUAGUCUCGACCAGUCCUCCUCGAGCUCCUGGAAUAAAUGUUAAUUAUUCCUAGUUGUCCAUGAGGGACAUAUCGAAUACAAAAUUCAAGCAGUCCAUUCACAUGCUUGCAUAAAUAGUAGCCGUAUAGACUCAAAGGUCAGAAGAUACUGGGUCUGCAUCUAUCACUUCUGAGGCUAUUAGAGUGGGCUAGUUUAUGAGAAUGAACCCACCCAAAUUCUCUGGCACUAAGGUAGAAGAGGACCCAUAGGAGUUCGCAGAUGAAAUGGACAAAAUUUUCAAAGUAAUACAUGUGGAUCAGGAGGAAGGGGUGGAGUUAGCAGCAUAGUAGCUUAAGGAUGUAGCGAACCAAUGGUACAAUGAGUGGGAGGAUAUGAAGAGAGAGAGUGCUGAGACCACAAUCUGGGAUGAAUUUAUGGAAGCUUUUCUUGACUGAUUCUUUCCUUUAGAGUUGAGGAAAGCCAAAGUAGAGGAAUUCAUGAAUUUUAAAUAGGAGAAUAUAAGUGUCCAGGAGUACACUUUGAAGUUUAACCAAUUAGCCCGCUCUGCACCAGAGAUGACUAGCAAUAUGAGAGCCCGGAUGAGGAUAUUUGCAUUCGGCCUUUUAGAUGAUCUAGUGCUUAAAUGUCAAGGGGCGAUGAUAAAUAGGGAUAUGGACUUUUCUAGGCUGUCAGUCCAUAUGCAACAAGUAGAAGAAAAGAAAAAUAAAAUCACUGAGUUUAGAGAGAAGGACAGGCAGGCAAAGAGAGCCAAAAUAGUAGAUCAACAUCACAGUCAGUCGGAAAGUGGUAAGUGGGGAAGUAAAUGGCAGAAAAAGAAGAAUUGGGGUAAUGCACAGUCCGCAGGCAGCGCCCCAGCACCUAGACCUCCAGUCGACAGAAAAUCUCAGAGUUUCCAGACUAAUCAGGGAUCUAGAGCUUAGGAUACUUAGUCACAGGGUAGUGUGGCUCUGCAAUAUCGUACUUUUUUGUGGUGUGAGACUUGUGGUAGGAAUCAUCCAGGAAGGUGUCAGUGGGCAGCAUUUUUAUGUUAUUCAUAUGGUUAGCCAGGUCACUUACAAAGGGAUUGUCCAUCUGCUAAAAGAAAUUUUGGUGGUGCAAAAUCUUAGGAAAAUUCUUCCGCACCACCACCACAUCAAAAGGGCACCACUUUAGCUGCCGGAAGCCGUCACAAUUGGCUGUAUGCUUUGAAUAACCUCCAGGAGGUAGAGUCCCAGAAGUUGUCACCGAUAUAUUACAAAUCUUUUCCCGUGAUGUAUAUAUGUUUCUGGAUCCCAGGUCUACCUUAUCUUAUGUGACCCUGUAUGUGGCUGUUGGUUUUGGGUUUAAGCCCGAUGUGAUUGCUGAACCUUUCUCUGUUUCCACUCCGGUGGGUGAUUCUGUUGUGGCUAGGAAGGUGUACAAAAAUUGUGUUAUGUCUAUUCUUAGUAUGGAUACUUUGGCAGACCUCAUAGAACUUGAUAUGGAUACUUUUAAUGCUAUCCUAGGAAUGAAAUGGCUCCAUCGGUGUUAUGCCAUACUAGAUUGUAGAACACAAAAGGUUACCUUUUCUUUUUCGAAUGAGCCAGUUAUAGAGUGGGAAGGGCAUUCUUUAGGACCUAUAGGGAACUUCAUAUCUUAUCUCAAAGCCCAUAAACUUAUUUCCAAGGGAUCCUGUAUCAUCUUAUUCGGGUUAAAGAGUCUAACACCGAAAGUGUUCCUCUUUGUUCUAUACCUGUAGUAAAUAAAUUCCUAGAAGUUUUUCCAGAUGAUCUCCUAGGAAUUCCACCUGAUAGGGAGAUAGAUUUUGGUAUUGAGGUGUUGCCAUAUACCCAUCCUAUUUCUAUUCUGCCAUAUAGAAUGGCUCUUAUAGAGCUAAAAGAGUUGAAAGAAUAGUUAGUAGAUCUCCUAGAUAAAGGUUUUAUCAGACCUAGUGUUUCUCCCUGGGGUGCACCUGUACUCUUCGUGCAAAAAAAAGAUGGUUCCCUGCAUAUGUCCAUAGAUUACUGUCAGCUGAAUAAGGUCACUGUUAAAAAUAAAUAUCCUCUUCCUAGGAUUGAUGACCUCUUUGACCAACUUCAGGGUGAUAAGUGUUUUUCUAAAAUAGACCUUCGUUCGGGAUAUCAUCAAUUAAAAGUUAGGGAGUCAUACAUUCCUAAAACAGCUUUCCAAACCAGAUAUGGUCAUUAUGAAUUCUUAGUCAUAUCCUUUGAAUUGACUAAUGCCUCUGUGGCUUUCAUGUACCUAAUGAAUAGGGUCUUCCAUCAGUUCCUUGACCUAUUUGUCAUAGUUUUUAUUGAUGGCAUCUUGAUUUACUCCAAAAGUGAGGAGGACUAUGCCAAUCACCUCCGACUUAUUCUCCAGAUCUCAAAGAUCAUAAGUUGUAUGUGAAAUUAUCCAAGUGUGAAUUCUGGAUGAAUGCUAUUGCUUUCUUGGGGCAUAUUGUAUCUAGUGAGGGGAUUCGGGUUGAUCCCUAAAAGAUUGAGACUGUUAGAAAAUGGCCCAGACCCAUGAAUCCAACCGAAAUUCGAAGCUUCUUGAGUUUGGUAGGAUAUUACAAAAGGUUCUUAGAGAGUUUUUCUUCCAUAGCUGCACUACUUACUAAGUUGACUCAGAAAAAGAUAAAGUUUUCGUGGUCUGACUCUUGUGAGAAUAGUUUUGAGAAGUUGAAAGACAAGUUGACUACUGCUCCUGUCUUGACUCUUUUGGAAGGUACAAAGGGUUUUGUGGUGUAUUGUGAUACGUCCCGAGUGGGACUUGGUUGUGUACUUAUGCAGCAUGGUAAGGUAGUAGCUUAUGCAUCUUGGCAGUUGAAGGUACACGAGCGGAACUACCUCACUCAUGACUUGGAGUUCGCGGCUAUGGUUUUUGUACUUAAGAUAUGGAAACACUAGUUGUACAGAGUACAUGUUGAUGUAUUUACUGACCAUAAAAUUUUACAGUAUGUUUUCUCGCAGAAAGAAUUGAACCUCAGACAGAGGCGUUAGAUGGAAUUGCUAAAGGAUUAUGACAUAAGAUGCACUAUCAUCCGGGCAAGGCAAAUGUGGUAGCUGAUGCCUUUAGCAGGUUGUCUAAGGGUAGUCUUUCUCAUAUUGAGGAAGAGAAGAGGGAGAUGGUGAAGGAUAUUCAUCGACUCAUAAAUCUAGGAGUGUAACUUUUGGAUUCCGAGGAUAGAGAAGUGGUUGUUCACGAGAUAGCUAAAUCUUCCCUUUGUGCAGAAGUUAAAGAGAAGCAGGUUGAAGAUCCUAUCUUGAUGUAGAUCAAGAAAGAUGUGGGUCACCAAAAGGUAUUGUCAUUUGAAAUUGGUGGUGAUGGUAUUUUGAGAUACCAGGGUAGGUUGUGUGUGCCAGAUGUAGAUGGUCUGAGGAAGAGAAUCCUUGACAAAGCUCACACGUAGAGGUAUGUUGUUCACCCUGGCUCUACUAAGAUGUAUCAUGAUUUGUAAACCAUUUAUUAGUGGAAUAAUAUGAAGCGUGAUAUGGCUAAUUAUGUUGCCACGUGUUUGAAUUGCCAACAAGUUAAAGUAGAACAUAUGAGGCCAGGUGGUUCUUCUCAAGAGAUAGCUUUGCCUUUUUGGAAGUGGGAGAUGAUUAAUAUGGACUUUAUUGUAAGACUUCCAAGGUCCCAAAAAUAGUAUGAUUCCAUUUGGGUGAUUGUAGAUAGGCUGACCAAGCCAGCUCACUUCUACCUGUCAGGACUAAUUAUUCGGGAGAGGAUUAUGCCAAGCUGUUCAUUGCAGAAAUAGUUCAUUUGCAUGGGGUACCUGUGUCCAUCAUAUAUGACCAAGGUACACAGUUUUCUUUACAGUUUUGGAAAUUGUUUCAGAAGGGUUUAGGUACCCAAGUGAAUUUGAGUAUGGCUUUUCACCCUCAGACUGAUGGGUAGGCUGAACACACCAUUCAAACCCUUAAGGACAUAUAGAGGGCCUGUGUAAUUGAUUUUAAAGGUAGUUGGGUGGAUCACUUGCCAUUGAUAGAGUUCGCAUAUAAUAACAGUUUUCAUUCCAGUAUUAAGAUGAUGCCAUUUAAGGCAUUGUAUGGGAGAAGUUAUGGGUCACCAAUAGGGUGGUAUGAAGUGGAUGAGAUGCAUAUGUUUGGGCUUGAUCUUGUUCACUAGGCGAUGGAAGAUGUGAAACUUAUCAGGGAACGACUUAAGAUAGCCCAAAGUAGACAAAAAUCCUAAGCUGAAGUUAGAAGAAGGGAGUUAGUAUUCGAGGUUGGUGAUUAGAUAUUUUUAAAAGUUUCUCCUAUGAAGGGAGUCAUGCGGUAUGCGAAGAAAGGUAAGUUGAGUCCUCGUUAUAUAGGACCAUAUCAGAUUUUGAGAAGAAUAGGUGCAGUUGCAUAUGAAUUAGAGUUGCCUGCUAGUUUGGGUUCCGUUCAUCCAGUAUUUCAUGUGUCCAUAUUGAAGAAAUGUAUUGGAGACCAUAGUUUAGUGUUGCCUGUAGAGUAUAUCAAGGCAAUAGACUCCUUGUCUUAUGAAGAAGAGCCUAUAGAAAUCUUAGAUCGUUAAGUUAGAAGAUUAAGGAGCAAAGAGAUAGCCUCAGUUAAAGUGUUGUGGAGAAACCUGAAAAUUGAAGAAGCAACUUAGGAAUCAGAAGUAGACAUGAGAGCUAGAUAGCCAAACCUUUUUGACCCAGUGGAUGACGAAAUAGAAGGUACAAUCCUUGCCUUAUUCUUUCUAUGCCUUAGUAUGCUUGAAAUUGUGCUUGUCUGUGUCCAGCGUCAACAUUCAGGGACGAAUGUUCCCAAGGGGGGAUAUUAUAAUGCCCUAAAGUUUUUCUAUCUAAAUUUUCCCUAAAGUAUCAAGAAUGGGCUUCUAGAGUGAUUUAUACUUAAUUCCCUGUGGAAUUCUUUAUAUUUUAACUUUUCAUUACGUAGAUGAUCGAAUAAGUUUUCUGUCAACAUAAGAUUCGUCCAAAACAGACACUCGGUGAAUGAGUUAUGGUUAAUUUAAGUCCUAGUCGUCAAACAUCAUCAUUCCUAUUCUUGGCGCGUUGGGGAGAGGGUGUAAAUGACGAUGGUCAACUUCCAGUGAGACUCCGCGAUGGUGGCACAUCACGGAGUGGGCUAAAUUCCUAUUCGUCAAUUUCCAGUGAGCCACCGCGAUUGUGGCGUGUCGCAUGGCCCAUAAAAUCGAGCACCCAAUUAUAUUUUUACUCCAUCUCAUUAAGGGUAUAUUGGUAUUUCCACCCCCUUAUCAGCUUAAACAGGGGAUUAUAUUCUCAAGCGACCACAUUACUCUUAUUUUCCUCAAAAAUUCACAAGAACUCUCCCUAGGGUUUCAAAUAAGAAUUCCGAAUAACUCAAGAUUUAACCGUGGGUUUUCGAAACAAAUUGGAGAUUUUGAAUUCCAAGCCAUAGGAAUCAAGAAUCAUCCUUUAAUUUCAAAUUGGAGAUUUUGAAUUCCAAGCCAUAGGAAUCAAGAAUCAUCCUUUAAUUUCCUAAAUAGAGGUACGCGGGCUUUUCCUAAAAUCUCAUGGGCAUAGAAAUCAUGAUUUUAAUAAAGGGGUUUUGAAUUUAUGAAUAUAUUCAUGUUUUAGAAGCAUUGAUGAUAUUGUUUUGGCCUUUCGGCUUUCCCCCAAAUUGAUUUGAAUUGUAUAUAUGUAUGUAUGCAUUGAAAAACAUGAAUUGGGAAUUGAGAGCAUGAAAUAUAUAUAAUCUCCCUCUCCCAUUACUUUAUUAUUUGAUUUACAAGUUAUGAAUCUUUACAUUUCAUGGUUUACAGAAUGAUUCAAGAUACUUUUUGUCCUAUGUGAAAUUCAUGAUGAUUAAGAAUGGGAGAGAGGAAUGCUUUUAUGAUUUUAAAAGUUGAGACUGAUAAACAAAGAAGCUUCAGGAAUGUUUUUGAGAAGUUGGCGACUACUUGUUGAAGUUGUUAAAUGAAUGGAAAGUCUUUCCAUGAUUUUUGACUUAUGAUUUGAGUAUGACUCUUCUUACAGUAUAUGCAUGAUCAAGUGUCCUGGACAUUGUUUUAGAAUGAAAUAAUCUUAUAUGGCUCAGAAUAAUGACUUGCAAUUCUUGGUAUGACGAUACCAAUUCAGACAAUGCCAUAAUAGACACAAACUAACACAGAAAUCAGACUUUUAUAUUUUAGAAUUUCAGAAUGAUGCACAUUCAAAAAAGGCUAAAAUAGGGCAUAAAGAGAUGUUAGGUGGUUUCCCGAAGAGGGCAUGAGUUCAGAUAACUCAUUUCCCAAAAUCGUGAUUUGCCGAUCUAGGUAUAUUAUAUUACGCUUGCCUAGUGCCGUGUGGUGUAUCAGAAUUAGAGAUUCCAACCCUUGUGGCGCACUUGGGUUAGAGGCUUCCCUGCCGAGUUAAUGAAGGAUUCCAUAUGGUGGAAUAUCAGAAUUGUAGGGGAGUGCCACCUAACUCAAAAGUAAUACAAAGAUCAGAAUUUGUAUUGACUGAAAGGUUUUAUGUUUUCAGAAAUGCCCAUGUGUUUUGUAAAUUAUAUAUUUAAUGAUGUUUAUGACUAUAUCUCACCUAUUUUAGUUAUAUAAAAGCUUUAUUUUGGAUUGCUCUGCGUACCAGUACAUCUGUAUUGACCCCCCUCCCUCCCAGGUUUUGAGGCACAGUCUAGGGGUUCAGCUAUUCUGUAGAGUAUUUCAGUGAGAAAUAAUCCGUGCAGUGGCGAGCCUUCUUUGUUCCAGAAGGCCCAUUUAUUUCAGAUUAUAUUACUACUAUGGUUUUGGUCUACUGGGGGCCUUGUCCUAGUUUUCAGACAGAUGUUAUUUUUAGAUAUAGUAGAGAUUUCACAGACUAGAUCAGAUGUUGUUUAGAUAUUGUUAGAGUUUUUCCUUUAUUGUUAAACUAAAUACAGAGUACGACCAUGUUUCCGUAUUCGAUUAUAAUUUUGCAUUUUAUUUUAUUAUAUGGAUGUUGUGCAUGAUUACCAGAUAGAGAAGGGCAUUCUGGGCCUUCAUGGUUCGGGAUGUCCGUCACGGCUAGGGCCUCAGUUCGGGCCGUGAAAAACUUGGUGUCAGAGCAUGGUUCAUUGUCCCAGGGUGUCUGUAAAAUUGCAUCGGGUAGAGUCUUAUUUAUGGGUGUGUAGCACGCCACACCUUUAAGCAGGAGGCUACUAGGCGUUUAGGAAAAUGUUUCCCCUCUUUGUGGUUUGGUUCGUGCUUUAGAGUCUGAGUUAGAAUUGCCCCUAAUCAGUGACCUAUUGUAUUUUAGAAAAUAGUCAUGCCUCCCCAUUAUUCCAGCAACAAGGAUACUCAGGAUGAUGAAGUCCGCCCACCCAUGGGAUGCGGACCCGUAAUAGAGCACACUCUCCAGAACCUGUUCCUACUCUGGGAGUACCUCUAGUCCCGACCAGUCCUCCUCGAGCUCUAGGAAAAAAUGUUAAUCAUUCCCAGUCGUCCUAUAGGGACAUAUCGAAUGCAGAAUUUAGGCAGUCCAUUCACAUGCUUGCACAGCUAGUAGCCACACAAACUCAGAGGUCAGAAGAUACUGGGUCUACAUGAUGAAAUAACAACUGUCUGAAAACUGGGAGAAGGCCUCCAGUAGACCAAAAUCAUAAUAAAUAAUAACUGUCUGAAAGAAACUAGGCCUUCUGAAAUAUAGAAGGGUCACCAACUGGUAAUCUUCACUCCUAUCUGAUGAAAUCUACUGCUUAUCAGGACCCCUAUACUGUGCCUCAGAACCUGAAGAGGGGGUCAAUAUAGAUGUACUGGUAUGCAGAGCAAUCCAAAAUACAGCUUUUAUAUAAAUAAAAUAGUUGGAGAGAAAUUUGUCAAAAUACCAUACAUGAAGUAGUUCUAGAACACAUGGGCACAUUCUGAAAAUCAUAAAUAAUUCUUGCCAAUGCAAUGUUUGAUCUUUGUAUUACUUUUGAGUUAGGUAGCACUCCUCUACAAUUCUGAUAUUCUACAGGCGGUAUGGAAUCCACCAUUGACCCGGCAGGGAAGCCCCCAACCCGAGUGUGCCGCAAGGGUUGGAGUUUCUGAUUCUGAUACGCCACACGACACUAGGCCAGUGUAGUAUAAUAUACCCAGAUCGGCAAAUCACGGUUUUGGUCAACGAGUUGUCUGAACUCGUGCCUUCUUCAGGGAACCACCUAACAUCUCUUUAGGACCAAUUUUAUCCUGUUCUGAAUCAAGCAUUAUUCUAGUUUCAACAUCUGAAAAUUCUAACUUCAAACAUGCAUUUUAUUUCGUUCUGAAUUUACCAUGGCAUAAUCUGAAUCUGUGUCAUCACACCAAGACUUGCAAGUCCUAUUUCUGAGACAUAAUGUAUCAUGUAAAAUUCUUUCAUUAAAAUACAGUUCUAACCACCCAAACAUGCAAACAGUAUAAAAGAUUUCAUGUUCCAAAAACAUAAGUCAAAACUAUGCUGAGAUUAUUCAAACAUAUGGUGGUCAUGUGUUCUUUUGGCAAACCAUGCUACUCUUAGUUAUAUGCAUAUUCAACAUUUAUUAACAUGCAUGUCCCUCUCUUUUUAUUUCAAAAUCAAAUUCAAUUCAUAGCAUAAAUCAAGACAUUUCAUAUCAUGCUUUCAAGAUAUAAUUUUGAACAAGUCAUAUCAUAUGAAAGAUGGGAAAAAUCAUAACAAGAGAGGGGUUCAUUAUAAUUCAUGCUCUCAAUUGAAUAUUCAUCCUUAAACACAUUUAUACAUAUAUAUUUAUAUAUAAUUAUUCAAUCAAUUUGGGGGAAGGCCUAAAGGCCAAAACAAUAUCAUCAAUGCUUCUAAAACAUGAAUAUAUUCAUAAAUCUGAAAAAUCCCUUUCUUAAAAUCAAGAUUUCUAUACCCAUGAGAUUUUAGGAAAACCCCGCGUACCUUAAAUUAGAAGUUUUUGAUUGAACUCUAACUUUUGGGAUGCUAUACGUACGAUUGAUGGGUGCUUCUUGUAGCCCUCGCAAUGGGGAUUCUAUCUCGAAGAAUUAUUGAAAACCCAUGGUGAAAUCUUAAGUUAUUUUGAUCUUUGGGUUGAAACCCUAAGAAGUAUUCUUGAGAGAAUUUGAGAGAAUGAGGGUAUAAUUUGGUUAUUAGAGGGUGAAUCUCAUGUUAUUGGGGAUAUUUAAGGAUGGACAAUGACCCAAAUACCCCUCUUGGAUGCGGAGCUUGACUGCAGAAAAUUACAAAUAGCAGGGCACUACCUCGCUAUCGCCCUGGCUUACUGCCUCUCAUAAAAAUGGCUGUAACUUUUUGCUCAGGUAUCAAAUUUUGGAAAAAAUGGUAUCGUUGGAAAGCUAAUUCAAAGAUAUUUCAUUUGAUAUAUAGUAUACCCUCUAAUUCUUUAUAUACAAAGAGAUAUUGUUGAUUGAAGUUGACCAUGUUUCGACUCUCACUCAACUCGAAUGAUAGGAAAGCUUUCAACUCGUUCUUGAGUUAGGGGACCUUUAUGAUAUUAAUUCAUGCUCAAAUAGGUUAAUAUACUCUAUAAUUGAUUAACAUGCCAAAUUUUUAUAGGAUUUAAGGCUUUUAGAUCAUCUACGCAUAGAAAUGACGAUUUUUGUUCUAGCCCAAAAUGCGGGGUGUUACAUUAUUUUCCCCUUGGGAUCAUUCGUCCCCGAAUGAUGGGUAGGAAUGUUGAAGCUUAAAGGUAUGGAAUAAUGCGGAUAUGAAUGUGUCUUCUAAGAGAUGAUAUAACUGAUCUGAAACAUUUAAACUUCUAUCAUGAAACUGAAUUUUGAGCUGACUUGACUUUACUUGCUUUAAGGAGUUGAUUCAUGCUGAGAAUUUAGGAUUCCCUUGAGGUGUUCAUGAUCCCAUCAUAUGUAUCGAAUUGAGAAGUGAUAACUUAUGUAAGUAUGAAUCUUGAGGCAAUAAGAUUUAGCUCGUACAAAGGUAUUACACUGUCUGAGCUAAAAUGCCUAGAGAGAUUUGAGGCUGCGCUGAACUCUUAUGAUUUGAGUCAUGAGUAAAUAGCUGAAUCUGAAACAUGAUGUUCGGAUUGAACUGAAUUUGCAAUUUACAUGGAUGGAAUAGAUUAUCUCUUUGGAUGGUCAUACAUAUGGGAAUUCGGAUAGCAGGACUAGGUGUAAAGGUGGAAAACCACAGUAACUUGUCUGCCUGACAAUUAAACUUAAUUAUAGACUGAAUUAUACCGGACAAUUAUACUUAACUGGAGUAUCUCUUCCAUACUCUUUCUAAAGAAUUUUAAGUAGCAUUAGGGAGCAAAGAAUCUUGGGCAUGAUUUACACAAAACACCCAACUAAAGGAUCCCAACAUUGACAUUACUCUAUAGCACAGAAUAUAGACAUAUAACUCAUAAACUCGGAUGGAAUUACCAGGCCUUAGGCAAUGCAACUUCUUACUUUCAAGCUUAGCGCACUUCUCGAAUAUUCCCUUAACUAUAUUAUUUCCUUUAAAUACCAUACUCAUUUGAUUCAACUUAGAAUUCUUAUAUGGGCAUCGAGAAAUCUUUCUACCAAUUACUAAAGUAACAUAAGUCCUCUCACCAUGAUCAAACCUAACUUCAAAUCACAAAAUACAACAUGCCACACCACGAUACUAGUCUAAACCAUAUGAUUCAAUCUUCUAUAUAUAUAUAUUAGAGAUCACACCCUAAGCAUAUCGUGCCUUACCACUUCAACGACUAACUCUGAUCUCUUACUAUGGAUUCACUAGAGCACACGACCUUUUCGACCGUCGUUUUUGGAUUUUCAAGCUGUGUUGCGAUGGGGAAAGGUCGUAGUACAUCUCGGGUAAGUUUUAAAAUUUUUUGAAUAGCGUAAGAGCAUGUUUGGGUUUCCAAAAUAGUAGCUCUGGGCGAUUAGCCCACGCCGCCCGAGCUACUGCACUGCUCUAAGGCAGGUGUCGCCUGGUCUAGCCCGACGGACUUGUCGGGUGUCGCCUGCCAACUCUUGUGGUGCCCAGGUUUUUUUAGCAUUCCACCGUUGUGUUUUUAAGGGCAUUUUGGUCCUUUUCCACCUGUAUAUAAGCUUCUUAACACGGGAUUUAGCCUCUAAAACACCAAAAUAUAGUGUUUUUGCUGAAUUUCUCUCAAAAACAACCAAGAACAAGUCAAGGCUUUAAUUGGGGGUUUCAAAUUCCAAUCUUAAUUCACUGCUAACCUUCACGAAUUCUUAAUCUAAGGUAUGCGUAGUGUUCAUCCACGGAUUCCUUUCAUCCGUGGAGUUCAAGAAUCAAUCUUUAAAUACUAAAUUAUGAUUGUUUUGUGGUGAUAUGAUUUUAUACAUGUUGGUGGUUGUUAUUUGUGUUGUAAAGUAGUAUCUAUGUAUUUUCAUGGAGAUAUGAUCAUGUUAGUUGGAACCCAUGAAUUUGAGUGGUUUAAUAUGGUAAAACUUAUGAAUAUACCUAUGCCUUAAAGAAUGCAUGCAAGGUGUUUGAUAAAAUGCUUAGGAUGCUAAAAAUCACGUUCCCAUGGAUUCAAUAAUAUUUAAAUGGCAAGCCAAUGUUAGUCAUUAUGAUUUGUUAAGAAUUCCAUGCUAUUGUUGUGUUUCUUGUGUUGUGGUAUGAAGCCUUCAUGAUAAUGGAGUUAUACAAUAUGUACAUGAUAUAUAUAUAUAUAUUCCAUGCACUCCCUAUCAUGCACAAGAUGUUGAAAAACUACAUGUGGUAUACUAUCCCCUACUUAUGAUAUUGUGAAUUGUGGACUCUACUCUUAUGAUCAAGUUAGUCAUGUGUGUCAGUUUCCUUCCAUCGAGUCCUGGGGGUACUCGUACCUCAAAAAUAUAGCUGUGUGCCUAGAGCCAUAUCAUGUUUCACGAAACCCGAAAUCAAGCCAUGAUUCAGUAGAAAUCAGUCGAUCAUGUGACUCAGGAAACCUCAUGAUCUCAGUCAGUUAUUAGAUAUCAAUAGUAUUCCAUCAGUCAACGGAAUUCAGUAAGCUCAGUCCAUGUACAGUUAGUUAAAUCAUGUUUAGUCUCUUCAGAUGGGAGUAGGAGUUAGCACCGAGUGAAUCCAAGGAUGGGAACUCACCUAUUAUAUGAGGGUGUGAUUCUUAGCAGUUAUCCUUGCAUUACAGAACUAUGUAUCCAGCAUAGGUUGAGACAUCGUAGCCUGCUAUAUGAGGGUAGAUGAGGUGGUUUAGCCUGUUAUAUGAGGGUUCCCACCAUUCUCACUAGAGUUACCUAUUAUAUGAGGGUUGCUCACACAUUAUCUUUACUAGUGGCGUGAUAUUGACACCCUUCUAAUUAGGGUAGAGAUUGGACCCCAGCUUAGCUAUAAUGGCACAUAUAGGGCAUGUCGGUUAAACAACUUCUUCCCAUAGUUUCAGUAUUCAGUAUCAGUAAAAGAACUCAGAUAGUUCUUCAGAUAUCAGUAUAUCAAGACUGUCAGAUAUAGUCAAUUCAGUUAUAGAACGAAACUCAGAUAGUUCAAUCAGAUUUAGGACUAUCAGACACAGUCACCCAUGUUAUCAGAACUAUAGUAUCAGUCAUGUUAGUUAUCAGUAAACCAUGUAUUAGCGUAUAGAUUUGACUAUCACACAUUUAUGAUUCUAAUUACUAUAUAUACAUACUUGCACUCUCACAUUCAUAUCAAUUAGUUAGUUAGCAUGUUCAUGUAUGUAAACCCUUUUGCAUUUAGCCUACCUCACUGUAUACUUAGUAUAUUCCCACAUACUGACACAUUUGCACUAUGGUGCUUUCAUUUAUGUUACACCAUAGGUUCAUAGACACGAGAUGUAGAUCAGCAGUAGUAUUCUAGUCGCAGAGUUACAGUGAGUCCUCAUUCAUUUGAGGAUGAUAUUAUUUUAUUCAUUAUUUCAGUUCAGUUUUGCUAGACGGAGUUAGUUGGAGACAUGUUCCUUCAACUCCUUAUUCAGACAGUACUUAGAGGCUUUUAGAUUUAGUUUAGAUUUAUGUUCAUAUUUUAGAUUUAGAUUUUAGUUGUUUUGGGUAUUCGUUACCCAUAUGGAUGUCAUGUUUUUUUCAGAUUCUUUAUUUAGUUGAACCUUAUGGCCUAUUGCUUAUGUUUUUUUGCAUAUUAUAUGAAUAUUGUGCAGUGUAUAGGUAUAGAUAUCAAUCAUGGGUUAUAUUAUAGUCCUUCAGGGUCAUGAGCACCAUGUAGCAUUCCGGUUCAGAUAAUCGGGGUGUUACAAACUUUGUAUUAGAGCCUAAGGUUCAAUAGAGUCCUAGGAAAUCUAAAAGCUGCAUCUAGUAGAGUCUUGUACAUGGGUGUGUUGAAAGCCACAUUUAUGUGCAGGAGGCUAUAAGAUGUUUUAGGAAUAGUUUCCCUUCUUUUAGUAUUCAUGUUAUGCUAGUGUGCAUAAUCUUAAGUUAAACUCUCAGUCUAAUCUAUUCUUCUUUUAUUUCAGAAUAUGCCUCCAAAGAGAAAAAACCAGCCAGCUCCUCAGCCCGAAGAUCCUUUGGGAGAAUAUGUUUCUCAUACAGAGUUUAGAGUUGCAUUCACCAUACUUGCUCAGUCUGUGGCUGCCCAAAAUGAAAGGCCACCAGUUAUUUUGGCCAAUUCAGUGGUCAACUCAGCCACAGCUAGGACUCGAGACUUCACCUAGAUAAACCCUCCAUCUUUUUUUGGGUCUAAGUCUAAUGAAGACCCUCAGGAAUUCAUUGACCAAGUCCAGAAGGUCAUUGACAUCAUGGGUGUUACUUCUGUUGAGAAUGUUGAGUUAGCCGCAUACCAGUUGCAAGAUGUGGCUCAUACUUUGUACAAACAGUGGAAGUCUAAGAGGGUAGAGGAUGCAGGUCCUAUAGAGUGGGAGAAAUUUGUCAUGGCUUUCUUUUAGAUAGAUUCUUUCCCUAAGAGCUGAGGAAGGCCAAAGUUCUAGAGUUCAUCAACCUAAGACAGGGAAAUAUGAAGGUUAAGGAGUAUUCUCUUAGAUUUAUGCAGUUAGCCAGAUAUGCCCCUCAUGUGGUUGCAGACAGUAGGGCUAAGAUGAGCAAGUUCGUGUCAGGGGUGAAUGAUAGCGUGAUAAAUAAGUGUAGGUCUGUGAUGCUGAACAACGAUAUGACUAUAGCUAGGCUCAUGACCCAUGCCCAGCAAAUAGAAGAGCAGAAGAUUAGGUCUAGGGAGAGGCAGAACAAGAGAGCAAGAUUAAGCAGUUUCAGUUUUGAUCAGCCCAAGUCAGAAGGAGAAAACCGUUCGCAGUUUUGUCCUAAGUCAACAGUUCUAGCCCCUUCUUCCGCUAGUGCCCUAGUGCCAAAAUUAAGAGACGGCAACAGAGAUAGAGCACCAGGCUCUAAAUCUCAGGGCGGUGUUAGCAGUGCCCACACUUAUCCUCAGUGUCAGACUUACGGUAAGCACCAUCAGGGUGUGUGUAGAGCGGGUAGUGGCAUUUGUUUCGAUUAUGGCAAGCCAGGCCAUAGAGUUAGAGACUGUCCUCAAUAAGGUCCUCAAGGUCGCAGAACCGCUUCUCAGUUCAAUUCGAUCACCCGAACUAGCAGGGUGCCACUUCCAGUGCUACUAGUGGGCAACGCCCAAAUAGACUCUAUGCUCUUCAGACCUGAUAGGAUCAGGAAAAUUCUCCUAAUGUCGUUACUAGUAAGUUACAAAUUUUCCAUGUUCAUGUUUAUGCUUUGCUAGAUCCAGGUGCAUCCUUGUCUUUUGUUACUCCUUACAUAGCAGGCAACUUUAAAAUCAGUCCUAAAAUUUUAGCAGAGCCUUUUUCAGUCUCUACCCUAGUAGGUAAAACCAUCAUAGCUCGGUGGGUAUACAGGAACUGACCGGUUAUGAUAUUUCAGAAAGCCACGUCAGUAGAUUUAGUUGAGUUAGAGAUGACUUAUUUUGAUAUCAUUCUCUGGAUGGAUUGGCUUCAUUACUGCUAUACCACAGUCGACUGUAGAUAGGAUAGUUCAGUUUUAGUUCCCGAAUGAGCCCAUCCUAGAGUGGAAGGGUAGUACUUCAUCUUUUAGAGGUCAGCUUAUUUCCUACUUUCGGGCAAGGAAAAUAAUUUCUAAGGGAUGUGUGUAUCGUCUCGUGCAUAUUAAAAAUUCCAAUUCUCAAUCUCCUAGCUUUGCAUCUGUCCCAGUGGUUAAUGAAUAUUCAGACACCUUUCCCAAAGAUCUUCCAGGCAUUCCUCCUGAAAAGAAAAUAGACUUUGGCAUUGAUCUGCUUCUAGACACUCAGCCUAUCUCUAUUUCUCCAUAUAGAAUGGCACCAACAGAACUCAAGGAACUAAAAUAUCAGUUGAAGGAUCUCUUAGAUAAGGGAUUCAUCAGGCCCAGUGUAUCCCCAUGGGCUGCACCUAUCUUAUUCGUGCUCAAGAAAGACGGUUCUCUCAAGAUGUGUAUUGAUUACUGUCAGCUCAACAAAGUUAUGGUCAAGAAUAGGUAUCCACUUCCCAGAAUAAAUGACUUAUUUGAACAACUUCAGGGUGCCAGUUAUUUCUCCAAGAUAGACCUUAGAUCAGGCUACCAUCAGUUCAGAGUUACAGAAUGUGACAUCCCGAAGACAGCUUUCUAUACUUGGUAUGGUCAUUUCAAAUUUCUAGUCAUGUCCUUUGGUCUUACCAAUACCCCUGCAGCUUUCAUGGACUUGAUGAACCAGGUGUUCAAGCAGUACUUAGACAUGUUCGUCAUAGUCUUCAUAGAUGAUAUUCUGGUCUAUUCCCGUACUGAGCAUGAUCAUUCAGACCAUCUCAGAAUUGUUCUUCAGACUUUUAGGGAUCAUCAGUUGUUCACCAAGUUCAGUAAGUGUGAAAUUUGGCUAAGAUCAGUAGCAUUCCUUGGCCAUAUUGUUUCCAAUGAUGGCAUUAGAGUAGAUCCUUAGAAAACCAAAGCGGUAAGAAACUGGCCUCGCCCCAUAUCUCCAUCAAAUAUCAGAAGUUUCUUGGGUUUUUGCUGGCUAUUACAGAUGGUUUGUUAGGGUAUUUUCUUCUAUUGCAUCUCCUAUGUCCAGAUUGACUCAGAAGAAGGUCAAGUUUCAGUGGUCAGAUCCUUGAGAAAAGAGUUUUCAAGAGUUGAAGAGUCGACUCACUUCAGCUCCAGUUCUAGCUUUUCCAGAUGGUUCAGAUGGGUUCAUAGUAUAUUGUGAUGCAUCUAGAGUGGGUUUAAGUUGCGUCCUCAUGUAGCAUGGUAAGUCAUAGCCUAUGCCUCCACACAGUUAAAACCCAUAAGAUGAAUUAUCCUACUCAUGAUCUUGAGUUAGCAGCUGUAGUAUUUGCCUUAAAUAUUUGGAGGCAUUGUCUAUACAGAGUUCAUAUAGAUGUCUUCAUAAAUCAUAAGAGUCUCCAGUAUGUCUUUUCUCAGGAAGAUCUCAAUCUUCUUCAAAGAAGGUGGUUAGAGCUUUUGAAAGAUUAUGACAUGAGUUUCCUUUACCAUUCAGACAAGGCCAACGUUGUGGCCGACGCUCUCAGUAGACUCUUCAUGGGUAGUUUUUCUCAUGUUGAGGAUAGCAAGAAGAAUAUAGCUCAGGAAAUUCAUCAGCUUGCCAGACUAGGCGUUCUCUUAGUCGACUCUUCAGAGGGUGGUGUAUGUGUUCAGAGUAGUUCAGAGUCAUCUCUAGUUUUCGAGGUGAAAGAAAAUCAAUACAGGGAUCCUAUCCUUGUCAAUCUAAAAGAAUCAGUUUAGAAUCAGAAAGUAAAGGUUUUCUUCCAAAGAGGAGAUGGUGUUCUUCGUUGUCAAGGUCGUCUGUGUGUUCCAGGUGUAGAUGACUUGAGGUAGUGAAUUCUUGUAGAAGCGCAUGGUGCACGAUACUCUAUUCAUACAGGGGCCACUAAGAUGUACCGUGACCUGCGAGAGAUCUAUUGAUGGAGUGGGAUAAAGAGAGAUGUUGCAGAGUUUGUGGCUAAGUGCUCUACAUAUCAGCAGGUUAAGAUAGAGCAUCAAAAACCUAGUGGUUCUAUAUAGGAUUCACCAUUCCUACUUGGAAGUAGGAAGAAGUGAACAUGGAUUUCAUGAUGGGUUUGCCUCUCACUCGUCAUCAGCAUGAUUCAGUUUGGGUCAUUGUAGACAAAAUGACCAAGUCAACUCAUUUCUUUCCAGUUCGUACUUCUUAUUCAUCCAAGGAUUAUGCCAAACUCUAUAUUAGGGAGUUGGUCAGAUUACACGGUGUUCCCUUUUCUACCAUCUCAUACAGAGGUACCCAGUUCACCUAUCACUUCUAGAAAGCAUUCCAAAAGGGUCUUGGUACCCAAGUCCAUCUCAGUACAACAUUUCAUCCUCAGACAGAUGGUCAAGCAGAGAGGACCAUUCAAACUCUCGAAGAUAUGCUAAGGGCGUGAGUAGUUGAUUUCAAGGGAAGUUGGGAUGAACACUUGCCUUUGAUUGAGUUUGCAUACAACAAUAGCUAUCAUUUCAGUAUUUAGAUGGCUCCAUUCGAAGCUCUCUAUAGUAGGAGGUGUAGAUCUCCAAUCGGUUGGUUUGAAGUUAGUGAGGCCUCAGUUAUAGGUCCUGACUUAGUAUUCGACGCCUUAGAAAAAUUUUAGUUGAUCAGAGAGAUACUCCAGGCUGCUCAGAGCCAAUAAAAGUCUUAUGCAGAUGUUCAUAAAAGGAUCUCGAGUUCGAGGUCAAUGACUAUGUCUAUCUCAAGAUCUCUUCCAUGAAGGGAGUGAAGAGGUUCGGCAAGAAAGAGAAACUCAGUCCUCGAUAUAUCGGUCCCUUUAGGAUUCUUAGUCGCUUUAGCAAGGUAGCUUAUGAGCUCAAAUUGCCUUCAGAUCUAGCCUCAGUUCAUCCAGUCUUCCAUGUCUCAUUGCUCAAGAAGUGCAUAAGUGACCCAACAAUUGUAGUCCCUAUUCAGAGCAUUGAUGUUCAGAAUAUGAAGAGAUUCUAGUCGAAAUCUUAGACUAUCAGACUCGUAGAUUGAGGAACAAAGAGGUCCCUUUAGUUAAAGUUCUUUGGAGAAAUCAGUCCAUUAAGGGAGCUACUUAGGAAGCAGAAACAGAUAUGCAUACCAAGUAUCCUCACCUCUUCUCCGCCAAUUCAGACCAAGCUCAAGGUAAUAGUUCUCCUUAAUCUUAUUCAUUUUCAUAUUCAUAAUCCCACUAUAAACUUGGUAUCUAUUACCAUUGCAUGCUCAGUCAUGCAUUCAUGUAUCAGUUCAGUUAUAAAAUUAUGCAUUAGCUAUGCAUUCUCAUCUUGAGAAAUUCAAUUUAUUAGAACACAUAGUCACGCAUACAUGUAUAAGUUAUCCAUGCAUCAGAUAUGCAUGAAGUAUAUUUAGCAUGUCAGUUGUGAAGUCAUGUCUCAGUCAUUCAUGUUUAUUUCAUGUUCAGCUUGUCUUUUAUCCUCUCUCAGUUGAUUCUUAUUCGAGGACAAAUGUUCCCAACGGGGAGAUAUUGUAAGACCCCGUAAACUCCUAAGUAUGAAAUUCAGCUCAUUUGGCUUUACAAGCCUCAAGACUUAGAAAAUUUUUACAAGUGUUCAACACUUAGUCUUAUUUUAGACCUCCAAACUUCGGGGAUUUAUUUGAUGACCUUCCCGACCUUUGUUUUUGGAUUUUCAAGUUGCGUUGCGAUGGGGCAAGGUCGUAGUACAUCCCGGGUAAGUUUUUCAGAAUUUUUUGGAUAGAGUAAGGGUGUGUUUGGGUUUCCAAAAUAGUACCUUGGGGCGAUUAGCCCGCGCCACCCGAGCUAGAGCACUUCUCUAAGGCAGGCGCCGCUGGUCAAGCCCAGCAGACUUGGUGGGCGUCGUCUAGCGACUGCGGUGGUGCCCAGAUUUUUAAGCAUUCCUCCUCCGUGUUUUAAGGGCAUUUUGGUCCUUUUCCACUCAUAUAUAAGCUUCUUAACACGGGAUUUAGCCUCUAAAACACCAAAAUAUAGUGCUUUUGCUGAAUUUCUCUCAAGAACAACCAAGGACAAGUCAAGGGUUUAAUUGGGGGUUUCAAAUUCCAAACUUAAUUCACCGCUAACAUUCACGAAUUCUUAAUCUAAGGUAUGCGUAGUGUUCAUCCACGUAUUCCUUUCAUCCGUGGAGUUCAAGAAUCAAUCUUUAAAUACUAAAUUAUGAUUGUUUUGUGGUGAUAUGAUUUUAUACAUGUUAGUGGUUGUUAUUUGUGGAACACAUUAAUUUGAGUGGUUUAAUAUGGUAAAACUUAUGAAUAUACCUAUAACUUAAAGAGUACAUGCAAGGUGUUUGAUAAAAUGCUUAGGAUGCUAGAAAUCAUGUUCCCAUGGCUCAAUAGCAUUUAAAUGGCAAGCCAAUGUUAGUCAUUAUGAUUUGUUAAUAAUUCCAUGCUAUUGUUGUGUUGCUUGUGUUGUGGUAUGAAGCCUUCAUGAUAGUGGAGUUAUACAAUAUGUACACGAUAUAUAUAUAUAUAUAUAUUCCAUGCACUCCCUACCAUGCACAAGAUGUUGAAAAACUACAUGUGAUAUACUAUCUCCUACUUAUGAUAUUGUGAAUUAUGGACUCUACUCUUAUGAUCAAGUUAAUCAUGUGUGUCAGUUUCCUUCCACUGAGUCCUGAGGGUACUCGUACCCGAAAAAUAUAGCUAUGUUCCUAGAGCUAUGUCAUGUUUCACGAAACUCGAAAUCAAGCCAUGAUUCAGUAGAAAUCAGUCAGUCAUGUGGCCCAUGAAACCUUAUGAUCUCAGUCAGUUAUCAGAUAUCAGUAGUAUUCUGUCAGUCAAUGAAAUUCAGUAAGCUUAGUCCAUGUACAGUCAGUUAAAUCAUGUUCAGUCUUUUCAGAUGGGAGUAGGAGUUAGCACUGAGUGAACCCAAGGAUGGGAACUUACAUGUUUUAUGAGGGUGUGAUUCUUAGCAGUCAUCCCUGCGUUCCAGAACUAUGUAGCCAACAUAGGUUGAGACAUCGUAGCCUGCUAUAUGAGGGUAGAUGAGGUGGCUUAGCUUGUUAUAUGAGGGUUCCCACCGUUCUCACUAGAGUUACUUGUUAUAUGAGGGUUGCUCACAUGUUGUCUUUACCAGUGGCGUGGUAGGGCAGAGAUUGGAACCCAGCUUAGCUAUAAUGGCACAUAUGGGGCAUGUCGAUUAAACCACUACCUCCCACAGUUUUAGUAUUCAGUCUCAGUAAAAGAACUCUGAUAGUGCUUCAGAUAUCAAUAUAUUCGGACUAUCAGAUACAGUCAAUUCAGUUAUAGUACAGAACUCAGAUAGUUCCAUCAGAUUUAGGACUAUCAAACACAAUCGCCCAUGUUAUCAAAACUACAGUAUUAGUCAUGUUAGUUAUUAGUAAACCAUGUAUUAGCAUACAGAUUUGACUAUCACACAUUCACGAUUCUAGUUACUAUGUAUGCAUGUUUGCACUCUCACGUUCAUAUCAGUCAGUCAGUUAGCAUUGUUCAUACAUGUAAACCCUUUUGUAUUUAGCCUACCUCACUCGUAUACUCGGUACAUUCCCACGUACUGAAGUAUUUGCACUAUGGUGCUUUCAUUUAUGUUACACCAUAGGUUCACAGACAUGAAAUCCAGAUCAACAGUAGCAUUCCAGUCGCAGAGUUGUAGUGAGUCCUCAUUUAUUCAAGGACGAUAUUAUUUUAUUCAUUAUUUCAUUUCAGUUUUGCUAGACGGAGUUAGUUGGAGAUAUGUUCCUUCAACUACUUAUACAGACAGUACUUAGAGGCUUUUAGAUUCAGUUCAGAUUUAUGUUCAGAUUUUAGAUUCAAAUUUAAGUUGUUUUGGGUAUUCGUUACCCUAUAUAGAUGUCAUGUUUUUGUCAGAUUCUUUAUUUAGUUGAACCUUAUGGCCUAUUGUUCAUAUUUUCUGCAUAUUACAUGUAUAUUAUGCAUCUAUACAGAUAUUAGUCAUGGGUUAGCUUAUGAUCCUUUGGGGUCAUGAGCACUGUGUAACAUUUCGGUUAAGAUAAUCGGGGCGUUACACUAACUCUGAUCUCUUACUAUUGAUUCACUAGUGCAUAUUGCGUGCCUCCACUUAAAUCUCAACAUGUCAUUCAAGCCUAUCUUUAUAACCACAUAUGAACUCCAAGGCAAACACCCAUAAGGCAUACUUCACAUAUUCUCUAAUCCACUAUUAAUAUAACUCCCAGGUGCUACCCUAAGAACAUACACACAUAAAUUUCCACUAACCAUCACAUAUAUCAAAGACUUGGCCCCAGAUCAUACUUCACACUUAUGGCCUUAUCUAAAAUAAACAUACUAUGAUCUUCAAUUAACAAGAAAAAUUUCUCAUCACCACUAUCAUCACAUAAGGAGGAGUCACUAAAAGGUUAGACCAUAAGACCUUGAAGAAUGGGAGAAUAUUAUACGAGACUUGACAUUUAACUGAGGCCGAAGGAAUAACAAAUCAACAUCAGGGAUUUAUCAAAGUGAUCUGAAUUGGGGCAUACAUGAAUAUAAGCUGAAUCUCGUCAAUCAUAAAGAGUAUAGCAUGAAUUUUGGGAACUGAGCACACUAUAAAGCAUGAGUACAUGAGUCAUGAGCUGCAUGACCUCAAUUUGAAGAUCAUAACAUAUGGAAUGUGAUUCCGACUACUGAAUGAAUUGGAACUCCUCAUUUUUAGAACUGGAAAAGCACGUGAUUCUCUAUCAUAGACAUGAACAUUAACUAUGAUCAUGGAAUUGAAAUGUAAAGCGUGAGUAAGUAUUGGGAUAACUAAAAAAUACUGAGAUGAGAAUGGGUUGAGCCUCACCCUCACUUCCUGAUGUUCUAUAUCAUACUGACAUCACUACUAAAAUCUGAGAGUCUGUCUUGGUCACUUGUUUUAUGAUCUCCCCCUUAGCUUUAAGCCAUCAUCUUAAGUUUGAGAGAUCCUUUACUAGACUCUAAACUGAACUACACUCACUACACUCUAGGUUCUGGAAUACAACAAUACACGCAAUUAGUAGGACUUAACCCGAAUGGCUACACCCGGAAGAGGAAAACCCUCUGCUAAUCCUACCUUCUGAGACACACUCUAUCUUUUUAUAGCCCCAAUAGUCAAUCAUAUAAUACUUGAAUACUUACUAACUUUGAAUCCUCGUGAGUACCCCCAUAGUCGGAGUUCACACUCUAUAGCACUUCAACUUUUAUUUCUAUGAGCUCAACCUUCAAGAACUCAAUCCUAGCUUCUAACAUUUAACAUGGAUAUCACCAAGCCUUUGAUGAACCAUACUACUUCCGUCAUAGCCUACCAAUAUUGCGACUCAAAACUUAUAUCUCUCUGCCAUGAGAAUCAAGAUCAUAUAAAAAAAACUCAACACUAUCAAUCAAAACUCCUUAACUUGGCUAUUUAGAAUACCAUAUUCCGUUCAAGCCUAUUAGAUCACUUCCAUAUAACCAGUAUCAUUAACCAAGAAAUCAUCAUAUCUACCUUUAUGGACAUCAACUGUUCAAACUUAAUGUCUAGUGCUAAGCAUGAUUUACAACCCAACCUGACACACAAUUCUCACAAAAUAUUCAUCAUUAAUCUUAAGCCACUAUUCUUACAUCCACAUCCUACAUUAAAUUCAAGGCAAUAGUCUAGCAUCAAUCAUCUACCACCAAUGAAGAAGGCAACACAAUAUACUAGUCCAUCAAAUUGGGACAUUCUAUCCAAAUACCUCAAAAAUAUACUACAUACCUUCUUAGAAGUAGUACUAGUUUGCAACUACCAACGAAAACAAGGUCAAGGGGGUAAAGUCACAUAAUAGACAUGGUCAACCUUAAUCUUAUAUUAUAACCCCAUACAAUCUUAUCUAUUUAUACGACUUUCUCACAUCACACUUACUUACCCAAGCGUAUAUUUAGACUACCUUCAAAUUCCAAAAAUAAUCAUGAGUCUAUAAUUAUAACUUACUGGCUUAUCUAGCCAUUUUCAUACUUCAAGCAGACAACAAUUCACCUUAACUAAUAACUCCUUCUCUACCUUCUACUACACUAACACACAAGGACGUAUCACUUCAUUACCAACUCAAUCUCAUGCAAAAAGAUUCGGCUAUACAUAUAUUCAACCAACAUAAGAACAACAAGUUGCUAGUGAAUCAAAAUAGGCCUCACAUGGCUUCACUAAACUUUGAUUCUUGUGUUUUGAACAAGAAAAUGAAAUGAAUAACAAAGCAGCUAUGCUAGUGAAUCAUAAGAGCCCCACAGACUACCAUAUAAUCCACACAUGCUACUAAAUACCACCUUAGUCUAUCACUAUAAAGUGGUAAAUCAUCCUUAAACAUCGGUUAUUCAACUAAAAUAUUUAUUUACACAAAAGUCACCCUCACUCUGACUUUUAAUUUUGUGACUUCAUAUCACCAAGUUCUUGGUCUAAUCUCACUACCAAUAGGUCAUGACACCGACACUUUAACUUAUACUACUAAUCGGGUGGAAAUACAGUUCCAACAUUUUGCUACACAUCAUUCCCCUUGAAGCAUGAAAUCUGGAACAUAAAUUUUUGAAAAAGGACGGAAUACUCUUAAUACCGCAGUCCAAAAAGCAUGAUUUCAUCAGAAUCAAAGUUCACACAAAAAUCAAUAUACUCUGAGGCACUAACGAACUCUUCUCAAGUCCUUGCACAAAUUUUAAACUCUUAUAUGGCUCAAUCAGAAAGGACCAUACCAUUUAGACUCUAAACUUCUGCACUUGAAUCACCCCAAUAGCGAGACAUAUCUGGGCAUAUCAAAGUAAGGAAAGAAUUGGGAUAACUUUACUUUUGUAUUGGCGACACCAUAUCACGAAUUAGAGUAUGUAAGAGGAACAUUCUGGCUCAAUAGCAUGAACUAGAACAUGAAAAAAGGGAAACAUUCCUAAACACCUAGUAGCCUCCUUCUUAUAAGUGUGGCGCACUACACACCCAUAAAAAGACUCUACCCGACCCAAUUUUGCAGACACCUUGGGACCAUGAACCGUGCUUUGAUACCAAGUUUGUCACGAAUCAAACCAGGGCCCUGGCCGUGAUGGAUAUCCCGAACUAUGAAGGCCCGAGAGCCCUUCUAACUUGUAAUCAUAUACACCAUUCAUAUAUAAAUAGGAAAUACAGAAAUAAAAUCUGCUACGGAAACAUGGUUAUAAUCUAAAUGUAGUUAACAAUGAGGAAUAAAAUCCAAUAUCAACUAAACACCGUCUGAAAACCAUCUGCGAAAUCUCUACUACAUGAUUAAAUAAAAAUUAUCUAAAAACUGGGACAAGGCCCCCAUAGACCAAAACCAUAAUAAAUAAUAACUAUCUGAAAGAAACUAGGCCUUCUUAAAUAUAGAAGGCUUACCAACUGGUACUCUUCACUCCUGUCUGAUGAAAUCUACUGCUUAUCAGGACCCCUAGACUAUGCCUCAGAACCUGGAGGGGGAGGAAUCAAUAUAGAUGUACUGGUACGCAGAGCAAUCAAAAAUAAAGCUUUUAUAUAAAUAAAAUAGUUGGAGAGCAAUUUGUCAAAUACCAUACAUGAAGUAGUUCUAGAACACAUGCGUACUUUCUGAAAUUCAUAAAUCAUUCUUGCCAAUGCAAUGUCUAAUCUUUGUAUUACUUUUGAGUUAUGUGGCACUCCCCUACAAUUCUGAUAUUCCACGGGCGGUAUAGAAUCUACCAUUGACUCGGCAGAGAAGCCCCCAAAACGAGUGUGCCGCAAGGUUGGAGUUUCUGAUUCUGAUACGCCACACAACACUAGGCCAGCGUAGUGUAAUACACCCAGAUCAGUAAAUCACAAUUUUGGGCAAUGAGUUAUCUGAACUCAUGCCUUCUUCAGGGAACCACCUAACAUCUCUUUAUGCCCAAUUUUGUCCUAUUCUGAAUUAUGCAUUAUUCUAGUUUCAAUAUCUGAAAAUUCUGACUUCAAACAUGCAUUCUAUUCUGUUCUGAAUUUAUCAUGGCAUAAUCUGAAUUGGUGUCAUCACACCAAGACUUGCAAGUCCUAUUUCUGAGCCAUAAUGUAUCAUGCAUAAUUCUUUCAUUAAAGCACAGUUCAGACCACCCAAACAUGCAAACAGUAUAAAAGAUUUCAUGUUCUAAAAACACAAGUCAAAACUAUGCUGAGAUUAUUCAAACAUAUGGUGGUUAUGUGUUCUUUUGGCAAACAUGCUACUCUUAGUUAUAUGCAUAUUCAACAUUUAUCAACAUUUAUAACCCUCUCUUUUUAUAUAGAAAUCAAAUUCAAGUCAUAGCAUAAAUCAAGACAUUUCAUAUCAUGCUUUCAAGAUGCAAUUUAGAACAAUUCAUAUCAUAUGAAAGAUAAGAAAAAUUAUAACAAGAGAGGAGUUCAUUAUAAUUCAUGUUCUCAAUUGAAUAUUCAUCCUUAAACACAUUUAUACACACACACACACAUACACACACACACACACACAUAUAUAUAUAUAUAUAUAUAAUUUUUCUAUCAAUUUAGGGGAAGACCUAAAGGCCAAAACAAUAUCAUCAAUGCUUCUAAAACAUGAAUAUAUUCAUAAAUCUGAAAAAACCCUUUCUUAAAAUCAAGAUUUCUAUACCCAUGAGAUUUUAGAAAAACCCCGCGUACCUUAAAUUAGAAGCUUUUGAAUGAACUCUAACUUUUGGGAUGCUAUACGUACGAUUGAUGGGUGUUUCUUGUAUCCCUCGCAAUGGGGAUUCCAAAUCUCGAAGAAUUAUUGAAAACCCAUGGUGAAAUCUUAAGAUAUUUUGAUCUUUGGGUUGAAACUCUAAGAAGUGUUCUUGAGAGAAUUUGAGAAAAUGGGGGUAUAAUUUGGUUAUUAGAGGCUGAAUCUAAUGUUAUUGGGGCUAUUUAAGGGUGGUAAAUGACCCAAAUACCCCUCUUGGAUGCGGAGCUUGACUGCAGGAAAUUACACUGGAAGGAAUAGGUAGGGCGCCACCUUGCUUAUUGCCCUGGUUUACUGCCUCUCACAAAAAUAGCUGUAACUUUUUUGCUCAGGUAUCAGAUUUUCUAUGAAAUUGGUAUCGUUGGAAAGCUAAUUUGAAGAGAUUUCAUUUUAUAUAUAGUAGGCCCUCUAAUUCAUUAUAUACAAAGAGAUAUGGUCAAUUGAUGUUGACCCAAGUUUCGACGCUCACUCAACUCGAAUGAUAGGAAAGCUUUCAACUUGUCCUUGAGUUAGGGGACCUUUAUGAUCUUAAUUCAUGCUCAAAUAGGUUCCCACACUCCAUAAUUGAUUAACAUACCAAAUUUGCAUAGGAUUUAAGGCUUUUGAAUCAUCUACGCAUAGAAAUAACGAUUUUUGUUCUAGCCCAAAAUGCGGAGUGUUACAUUAUUUCCCCCUUGGGAUCAUUCUUCCCCGAAUGAUGGGUAGGAAUGUUGAAGCUUAAAGGUAUGGAAUAAUGUGGAUAUGAAUGUGUCUUCUAAGAGAGGAUAUAACUGAUCUGAAACAUUUAAACUUCUAUCAUGAAACUGAAUUCUGAGUUGACUUGAAGAAAAUCCCAUAAUAAAUGCAUAAUUCCAUCAUAAGGUUGAGGUUUCAAAAUUCAUGUUUUUUUAAUCAACUUCAAAGCCUUAACUUACAUACAUAAUAAGGAUUAUUAAAAUCAACAUACUUAUGCCAAUAAAUUUUAGGAUAGUUCUACAUACCUUUGAUGUAGAAAAAUUAAAUAAUAACCUUGAAUUUGGAAUCUACAAGCUUUAGCAUUGAGAAACCCCUUCUUGAUGAUAUUGGGAGGAAGAGAAUGAGGAUUUGGAAGAAACCCUAGCUUCUUUCUUGAGAGAGAAGAGGAGAAUGAGCGUUUAAAUCUGAUUAUAAAGAGUAAUAAUUCUUAUUGGAAGAUGUAAGUCGUGUGGGAGGAGACGUUUAUGGUGGGGAAAAAACCCAAAUACCCCCUUGAAAACUUUAUAAUAGUGCAAAACGGUUCCUACUGAUGAUUUGGGUGACGGAUCAUCACUCCCGCGAUAGAUAGUCACUCCAACCGUUCCAAAAUGACCAAUUUUCUCUCUAUUUGCUUAAGGACGACGGUCUGGUGCGACGGGCCAUCACCCUAGCCGUCGCACCUUGGAAGACAAACACCUUUUGAUAAAUCAUGCAUAACUUUUUAUUACGAUAUCAAAUUAAAGCAAAACCGAUGGCGUUGGAAAGAAGACUCGAAGACCUCUCAUUUGAUAUACAGGAUGCCACCCUAACUCAUUAUAUUUUAGGAGUAAUAUUUGUUGAAAGUUGACCCAAGUUGGAACAUUUCCUAAAACUCAAUCAAUAGAAAAAUUCUCAACUCAACUUUGAGUUUGGAGAUUUUUAUGAUCUCAAUUUAUCUGUAAAUAUGUUCCCUCACUAAAGAAUUGAUCCUCACACUUAUAUGGACACAAAAUCAUUAGGUUCGGAUCUAUAUAUGUCGGAAUGAAGGUUCGAAUUCUAACCCGAAAAUGUGGGGUGUCACACAAACGACCCCUUAAUCUAAAUGCCCUAUCAAGUAUUUUAGUCACUUAAACAUGGAAAAUUGCACGUAAGAUUAGAAGCUGUGGAAUCAUACCCUAUCAUCCAUAGUGUAAUAAGAAAAAAGAAAAAGGAAAACUUUACACCUUGUUUGGAUCGUUAUUACAAAUACGACAUUUGCUUAGAUUGCUAUUUAAGAUAUAUUAUAUCGUAUUGUUAAAUCCAUCGUGCAUAACAAUGAAAAGCUCCAUUGUGUGUGUUAGCCUUAUACUACGUUGCAACAUUCUUUUGGACAUUUUUCAAUAGUUUUGUGCAAAUUAUGCACUCCAAAGUCUACCAUUUACCUAGCAUGAAUUUCGUUUAAUCCAUAAAAACGUAGAAUCCCAUGAGACCACCCUUUAAUUUUUGUUUACCAUACAAAUUUUUAUGUGCCACACAUUAAACUGAACAAUAGCUUUUAUCUCUUCCAUCCAUUAUUUCAGCAUCUUAAUUUAAGCAAAACCAUACAAACACACAUGAUUCUUAAUCUAUUCACACCUAUAAAUAAUCCUCCUUUUCAUUCUUCAUUUCUCAUAAUCACAAUUUGUUUUUAACAAAAGUAAAAAGAAUGGAGGUGUCUAACAAGAAAAUAACAUCUCCAUUCUUUGCUUUCUUGUUUAUUUCUUCUCUUCUUAUUCAAUGUUUUCCGUGUGUUUCAUCAAAACCAAUUCCUGGAGGAAAAUACAAUAAGCCGGUCCCAAACCCAGGCCCCAUAAAUCCGGUCCCAAAUCCAGGCCAACCACUUCCAAAUCCUACAACACCGGGGGGCAAAAAAUUUUGCGUACCCAAACCUGAGGCUACAGAUAAAAAAUUGACGGCUUGUAUAAAAUGGGUUUGCAAAGAGGGAGGUGUGGAUUGUGGCCCAAUUAAUCCUGGAGGUGCAUGUUCUCAGCCCAAUACUCUUAGGUCUCGUGCAACCUGGGCCAUGAAUGCUUACUUUCAAAUGAAGGGUAAAACUGACAGUAUGUGUGGUUUUUCGGGCACUGGUGUCGUCUCUUCCAUUGAUCCAAGU